AUAAUACUCCCUCCAUCCGGAAUUACUUGUCAUCAAAAUGGAUGUGUCUAGAACUAAAAUACAUCUAGAUACAUCCAUUUCAAUGACAAGUAUUUUCAGACAGAGGGAGUAGUAG
rnacentral:pre_miRNA from 1 species